GGACCUUGAUGCUGUGACAACGGCAUCUUCUUCCUCUGUCCUUUUUCUCUGCCUCUGUUCAGUGUUGUUAAAUCAUCACUUGCUUGCAUAAUUUGGAUUAUUAGAAUAAAUUUAAGUUUCAUAAAAGAAUAGUAGAAUGACACCACAUUUAAAUAUAUAUUAUAUAUUUAUCUACAUUUAUUUUAUUUUUAAGUAUGUUUACAAGCUUACCUGUUAAUGUAAUCAAUGUAUAGCGGAACUAUUGUUCUGAGGUGCAAGAGGUGACGUUUAUUGUUGUAGCACCAGCAUCGGAGCAUGCAGCGCAUGCGGAACCGCUCGUUGAGAUGUGCGGUAAUAUUACAUUUGUUAGUUCAACGAGAGACACACAGGAGAAAAGUUGCCUCUGUGUUACCUGUUUCACUCCCUGAAGUUAACGCGGCCAAUGAGUUGGACCUUGAUGCUGUGACAACGGAUGAGUCUUCUUCCUCUGUCCUUUUUCCCUGCCUCUGUUCAGUAUGUUCAGUGUUGUUAAAUCAUUUCUCUCUUUUUUUUAAUUAUUCUUACCGUUCUUAUUGUGUUCUUGUUAGUGUGAUAUUUGAAUAAACUUGCCUGUUGCAAUGUUGGUAUAAUGUUUGUAUAAUUAAGCAAUAGAUCACGCCAGGCUGUGGUAUGUGCUCAUUAUACCACUGUUAAGGGGCGUUGUCCGGCCCCGACGCGCAGCGGAGGGCCGGCGACCCCCUUCACAGUGGUAUAAUGAGCACAUGCCACUGACUGAAGGGAUCUAAUUGCUUUUAUACAACGGUUAGUGUUAUGGCGAAACGAAAGUCAUAGACACACUACAUUUAAAAAGAAACCAAGAAAGUCAAAAUAGCCGUUUUAUUAAAGAAUACAAAAAAGUAGUACCUCCUGGCUGCCGCUAUGCAUCGACGGUCGCUAUGCAACACACUUUAGCGUCCCUCCGAGAGAAGGCUCCGAUAGAGCGGUUCGCCGGCAAUUUAUCCUAUGGAGCAGUUCACUCGCCGUGUGCCU